CGAAACCCGGUGAUCUAGCCAUGGGCAGGUUGAAGGUUGGGUAACACUAACUGGAGGACCGAACCGACUAAUGUUGAAAAAUUAGCGGAUGACCUGUGGCUGGGGGUGAAAGGCCAAUCAAACCGGGAGAUAGCUGGUUCUCCCCGAAAGCUAUUUAGGUAGCGCCUCGUGAACUCAUCUCCGGGGGUAGAGCACUGUUUCGGCUAGGGGGCCAUCCCGGCUUACCAACCCGAUGCAAACUGCGAAUACCGGAGAAUGUUAUCACGGGAGACACACGGCGGGUGCUAACGUCCGUCGUGAAGAGGGAAACAACCCAGACCGCCAGCUAAGGUCCCAAAGUCAUGGUUAAGUGGGAAACGAUGUGGGAAGGCCCAGACAGCCAGGAUGUUGGCUUAGAAGCAGCCAUCAUUUAAAGAAAGCGUAAUAGCUCACUGGUCGAGUCGGCCUGCGCGGAAGAUGUAACGGGGCUAAACCAUGCACCGAAGCUGCGGCAGCGACACUUUAGUGUUGUUGGGUAGGGGAGCGUUCUGUAAGCCGUUGAAGGUGUGUCGUGAG
rnacentral:rRNA from 1 species